UACGAAGGGGGCUAGCGUUGCUCGGAAUUACUGGGCGUAAAGCGCACGUAGGCGGAUCUUUAAGUCAGGGGUGAAAUCCUGGAGCUCAACUCCAGAACUGCCUUUGAUACUGGGAAUCUCGAGUCCGGAAGAGGUGAGUGGAACUGCGAGUGUAGAGGUGAAAUUCGUAGAUAUUCGCAAGAACACCAGUGGCGAAGGCGGCUCACUGGUCCGGUACUGACGCUGAGGUGCGAAAGCGUGGGGAGCAAACAGG
rnacentral:rRNA from 1 species